AUUGAACGCUGGCGGCAGGCCUCACACAUGCAAGUCGAACGAGGGGCGGGCGGGUGAGUAAUGUUUGGGAAUCUACCUUAUGGAGGGGGAUAACUACGGGAAACUGUAGCUAAUCCCGCGUACCAUAGUAUGAGCACAUGUGGGAUUAGGUAGUGGGUGGGGUAAAGGCUCACCAAGGCGACGAUCUCUAGCUGGUCUGAGAGGAUGACCAGCCACACUGGAACUGAGACACGGCCCAGACUCCUACGGGAGGCAGCAGUGGGGAAUAUUGCACAAUGGGGGCAAGCCUGACGCAGCCAUGCCGCGUGUAUGAAGAAGGCCUUCGGGUUGUAAAGUACUUUCAGUAGGGAGGCGUUACCUACAGAAGAAGCACCGGCUAACUCCGUGCCAGCAGCCGCGGUAAUUC
rnacentral:rRNA from 1 species